rnacentral:lncRNA from 10 species
CUCGGGGCGUCUGGGCAGCCUACGCUUUCCGGAUAAAAAUGGCAGAAUGAAAGAAUUAUGAGUGGAACUAGAGAAUAGGAAAGACAUGAACCAACGCCCAAAAUGAGAAAGAAGGACAUAUAAAGAAAAAGACAAAUACAAGUGAAAAAAAUAGACUAAUGGAUUAACGUCCCUGUCGUGUGACAUUUUCUGGUUAUGGAAAUGAUAUUAGACAAAAAGCAACUUCAAGUGGUUUUCUUAUUUGAGUUCAAAAUGGGUCAUAACGCAGCAGAGAUAACUUGAAACAUGAACAGCGCAUUUGGCCCAGGAACUACUAACGAACAUACAGGGCAGCUGUGAUUCAAGAAGUUUUGCAAAGCAGACUAGAGCCUUGAAUAUGAGGAACACAGUGGCCAGCCAUUGGAUGCUUCACUUCUUGAAGCAUCUUGACAGCUUUUUGCAGGUGAAAUGCUUCCACACCAGCAGGAUGCAGAAAAAUGCUUUCCAAGAGUUUGUUGAAUCCAGAAGCAUGGAUGUUUAUGCUGCAGGAAUAAACAAAUUUAUUUCUCGUUGGCAAAAAAGUGUUGAUUGUAAUGGUUCCUAUUUUGAUUAAUAAAGAUGUGUUUGAGCCUAGUUAUAAUGAUUUAAAAUUAAUGGUCCAAAAAUGCAAUUACUUUUGCACCACCACCAACACACACACACACCUACACAUUCUGGAUUUGAAUUCCAUGUUGAUUAUAUGCACUUGGAAUAUUUCUUUUCCAUCUGUGGAUUGU